rnacentral:lncRNA from 1 species
CUUAGUUUUCCUUAGCGGUCUUCACCGUCCUUCCCAGGAGAGCCUGGAGCCCCUUCUUCUUGGGCAAGUCCCUGCGAGGCCAGCGAGGGGCCCUGCCAGCUCCGCUCCCACACAGCCCUCCUGAGCUGACGCCACGGGGCGGAGACGCCUACAGGUCAGGCAGUGGGAAAGGGGCAGGAGGGCCCCACCGUCCGUGACCUCGCGAGGGAGAGGCCUCAGGCUGCCCCUCAGGAGAAGGGUGGGAGGGACGGGCUCCCUUCUUGGUUCUUCGGGGCUUUUUGUCUCUGGCUGUGUGAGUCCUGCCCCCAGGUCCUGGGGCCCAGGGACGGGGCCUGGCAGCCUCUGCACUGGCUCGUCCUAAUCCCUCCUCACUGUCUCCCCUUCCAGGAAGACCACCCGCCUCCCCGCCACGAGGGCGCCUCCCACCCCGUGCUCCCAGGACCCUACCUCCAGCGCGUCUUCCUCGAGGGCCACCUGUGUGCUCGGCCCCUGGCCUCACAGACCGUCCCAUGUAGUGGGACGGGAGAGAACCUGGUCAUCUGGCUCCGGGCCCUCCAGAUCUAAGCUCACUGCCCAGGGCCCUGCUUCUCCCUGCCCCACCUGCCCCUGGGCAGGAACACCAGGGAGGGAGGGGGAGGAGCUAGGCGGGGGCUCCUGCAGGGUGGCUCCCGGAGGAGGCCUGGGGACCCAGAGGCCGGGAGCCAUCAGCUUCACGAAGGCCCGGGCAGGGUGCUCUGGGCAGGUAGAGUACAGAGGCCCUGGGCAGGAACAGUGUGGCAAGUUGGAGGGCCACACGGGAGGCCCAUGCACGGAGCUGUGAGCUGCAGAUGCCCUCUGCGUGCUCUGGAAGCCGGGGGGGGGGGGGCCCCCAUUGGGCCAGCGGCGCAGGGAGGUUUCCUUGAUGCAGGCCACCUGAUGAGCUGGGCUGAGGGGCAGGGCUCUGGAGACCAGGACCCCCCUGCGCCGCCCAGCCGCCUUCCCGCCUCGCGGACGCUGCCAGGACUGGGAAGCUCUUCUGGAACGCAGAGCAAGGGACGCAGCCUGUGACCAGGCCGCAGGAGCCUGCCCCCGGCCAGUUCCCGUUGGGUGUAAGUGGUGAGAAACGGGCUGGAGGCCGGGAGAACCUGUUUUUCAGCCACCAGGGACGCGGCAGGGCACCCUGAGCUCUGGCCUUUAAGCAAAAGCCACAUCACCCCCCGGGGUCCAGGUCACCCACACAGAGGUUCAGGGUGUGUGCAAAAUGGUGUCCGGUGCAUGACAGGAAGGUCACUUGUUUUCUCUCUGGAAAGGACUCGUCCCCACUAGGACCAGCCAGCUGCACAUCCAGACAGUGUGUGCCUUGGCAGGGACACCGAGGCUCCAGAGGCCUUGGGGAGCUCCCUGGGUCCCAGGAUGGCACAUGCACAGCUGACGGGGACUUCUGGGACAGCAGUUGCCCCCUCGAUAAUGCCUGGGCACCUGCUUCAUGCCCAGGACCCACACGGAUGGACACGCAGACGGACAGACCAUGCCCUGGUGCAGCUCAUGGGGGAGGAGGGGGGUCCUGCUUCCAACCCAGGCAGCCCCUGCUGGGCCCCUCUUCUGGGCCGCUGGGUCCCCCUGCUGGCUAAGUCCUCUCGUGUGCAGUCCUGAGGAAGGCCACCUUUCAUCAGAGGUUAAAGGGUCCCCUCCUGUUCCGGGAGCCCCAGCUCCCGGUGCCGUGACUCCACGGGACAGGCCCUCUGUCGAGUGGCAGCACUGGGUUACCACAGCGUUUCCCAGCUGUCCCUCGGGCCCUGCAGGAGGGACUGUGGCUUGACCCCCUGCGGCCCGCACUGCCUCUCCAGCCGGGGACCCGCUUCUGGCCUCUGCCUCUGGUGGCCGCGCCCACCCCUGCUUCUUCCAGGCCUGUUCAGACCCACCCAAGUACAAAGAGGGGCCGUGGGCAGCCUGGAGCGUGGACACCUGAAAGUGUGGGAAAGUCUCGGGCCCCAGCAGGCCCCAUGUGAGCGCCCAGGUGAGGAAGCCGCACAGGCCCGCGAGGGCCCAGGCCCAGGCCCAGGCUCAGGCUCUGUUGGUGCAGAACAUCUCUCACCGGGUCUCACCAGGGUCUCGCCCUGUGGUGCUGGCUGACGCUGGUCUGCUGUCACACCUUGGGAACAGAGAUGUCGUAGGCAGGCGGUGCUGAGGGCGGGCAGACAGAUGACCACUGUGUCCGUGUCAGAGGCGGCACGUCCUGGGCUGCCCUCUGUCCCCAGAUCCUCCCACCCCAGCCUCCCAGUCCUUGGGAUCACAGGUGUGUGCCCUGUGCCGGCUGGAAACAGGGUCUUCAAAGAGGUGACUAAGAUAAAGUGAGGUCACUAGGGCAGCCCUCCUCCAGUAGGACUGGGGUCCGUGGAGGAAGAGGCAACCAGGACACAGAUACACGGGGGACACCAUGCGAGGACACAGGGAGACACAGGCCCGUCUCGGAGUGAAGCUCUCCUCAACGGCCGGUUCUCACAGGGAACCCUCAGCCUGGGACUCCAGACCAGCACACGGGUGGCAGAGAGGACCGACGCCCAGGCCCAGGGCCAGCACCAGGGCCCGGCUGGGCAUCGGUCCAUCCAGCCCAGCUGGUCUGUCGCCCCCUCUGGUUCCCCUGGGGGACGCUCAUUUCCUCCCCUGUGGAACCAGAGGCCAUCCUCCUAGGACGCCUCUGGGCCUCAACGGGCUCCCGCCCAGGGCACCUCGCUGGGCGCAGCCCGGCUCUUUUCAACCAGAUGUCGAUUCCUUGUCCACUGCUCGGCUCUUCCACCUGGACCAUGCAUUCUGGCGCCUGGACUUAUUGAUGUAUUUCCAGCGUCUGGCCUGGUGCCCGGCACGCGGCGGCAAGUGAAUGAAAUGUGAAAAAAUCACACUCUGUCGGAGCUGCGGCAGAGCAUCCCGGGGCCUUUCUGCUGCCCUGCGCAGUCCUGGAAGCCCCCGGAGGUGCUCAGAGCACAUGCCCGGUGUCCGUCCCUGAGGUGUCCUCCAGGUGGCUCAGGAGGCACAGGCUCCCCGUGCUCUGCCUUCAGGGUGGCAGUAAGCACGGCUUCCCAAGAGCCAGUGGAGGACUGGGUGUGGCUCAGUGACAAGUGCUUACCUAGCAGGUGAGAGGCCCAGCGUUCUGUCCCCAGCACCGAAAAAAUGACACAGUCGCCAAAUUCCCAGCUGAUGUCAGCCUCCCAGCCGGGGAAUAACAACCGGGUUCUCUAUAAAUAUCUAAUGUUUAAAAGAUUAGUUGUCCAAUAUGAUAAUAGUUUUUUUUUCUUUUUUUUUUUGUUAUGUUUUGGGUACUGGGAAAUGAACUCAGAGGCAUUUUGCCACUGAAUUACAUCCUCAGCCCUUUAAAUUUUUUUUUUAAAGAGAGAAUAUGAAUCUUUUUUGUUGAUGGACACAACACAAUGCCUUUAUUUAUUUUUUUAUAUGUUGCUGAGAAUCGAACCCGGGUCCCGCCCAUGCUAGGGGAGUGCUCUACCGCUGAGCCACAAACUCAGCCCCCCUCAGCUUUUUAAAAUUUUUGUUGUUAGACAGGGUCUCGCUAAGUUGUGGAGGCUGGCCUCAAACCCACAAUCCUCCUGCCUCAGCCUCAGUCUGUGGGGUCACAAGCGUGCACCACCAUGCCCGUCCCAAUCUGAUAAUCUUGAUUUUUGUUUCAUGACAAAUAUUUCAGCUGCAGAAAAAUUCCUUAGGAGCGUCCACAGGCAUGUUUAAGUUGGGCAAUAGGGAGGUCUAGGUACCCGUUUUAAUCGUGGUGAAAUCUACACAACUCGCAGUCUCCCACCACAAGCAUGUUCAGGCUCACAGCUGGUGGCGCUUAGAGCAUCCCUGGCCUUGCGUAACUCACCCCAGAACUCUCUUGCAGCCAGCUGGAGGCUCGGUGCGGUGAACACUGUCUCCCCCGCCCCCAGCAAGGACCCCCACCACCCUCCUUCAGAGUCAGGACUCUCUCCAC